GUGAUCGAGCGACGCCGCGUGCGGGAUGAAGGGCUUCGGCUUGUAAACCGCUUUUCUUUGGGGAGAAGGUCCAGGUCGUGAACUUGGGCUUGACGGUACCAGAGGAAUAAGCCCCGGCUAACUCCGUGCCAGCAGCCGCGGUAAGACGGAGGGGGCAAGCGUUGUUCGGAAUUAUUGGGCGUAAAGGGCUCGUAGGCGGAUCUGUAAGUCUGACGUGAAAUCUCCACCGCUUAACGGGGAGAGGUCGCUGGAUACUGCAGAUCUGGAGUUCGGCAGAGGACCAUGGAAUUUCGGGUGUAGCGGUGGAAUGCGUAGAUAUCCGAAAGAACACCGGUGGCGAAGGCGGUGGUCUGGGCCUGAACUGACGCUGAGGAGCGAAAGCUAGGGGAGCAAACAGGAUUAGAUACCCUGGUAGUCCUAGCUGUAAACGAU
rnacentral:rRNA from 1 species